AAAUGAAUAGACGGGGGCCCGCACAAGCGGAGGAACAUGUGGUUUAAUUCGAUGAUACGCGAGGAACCUUACCCGGGCUCGAACGGCUGUUGGAUACAUCAGAGAUGGUGUAGUCCUUAGGGACAACAGUCGAGGUGCUGCAUGGUUGUCGUCAGCUCGUGCCGUGAGGUGUCGGCUUAAGUGCCAUAACGAGCGCAACCCUUGUUGUCAGUUGCCAUCAGGUAAAGCUGGGGACUCUGGCAAGACUGCCACCGUAAGGUGUGAGGAAGGGGGGGAUGACGUCAAAUCAGCACGGCCCUUACGUCCGGGGCGACACACGUGUUACAAUGGGUGGUACAGAGGGCAGCUACUAUGUGAAUAGAUGCCAAUCUCAAAAACCAUUCUCAGUUCGGAUUGGAGUCUGCAACCCGACUCCAUGAAGUUGGAUUCGCUAGUAAUCGCGCAUCAGCCAUGGCGCGGUGAAUACGUUCCCGGGCCUUGUACACACCGCCCGU
rnacentral:rRNA from 1 species